GUAUUGCCAUAAGAACAGACACAUAGAACAAUGGAACAGAUCAGGGAGGCCAGAAAUAAACCCCAGACUCUUUGGUUAAUUAAUAUUCAACAAAGAGGGCAGCAACAUAAAAUGGAGUAAAAAUAUCCUCUACAACAAGUGGUAUUGGGAGAGCUAGACAGCUACAUGCAAAAAAAAAAAAAAAA